rnacentral:rRNA from 1 species
UAAUACGUAGGGGGCGAGCGUUGUCCGGAUUCAUUGGGCGUAAAGAGCUCGUAGGCGGCUUGGCAAGUCGGGUGUGAAAACUUCAGGCUCAACCUGGAGGUGCCACUCGAUACUGCUAUGGCUAGAGUCCGGUAGGGGACCACGGAAUUCCUGGUGUAGCGGUGAAAUGCGCAGAUAUCAGGAGGAACACCGGUGGCGAAGGCGGUGGUCUGGGCCGGCACUGACGCUGAGGAGCGAAAGCGUGGGGAGCAAACAGGAUUAGAUACCCUGGUAGUCCACGCCGUAAACGUUGGGUACUAGGUGUGGGACCUUAUCAACGGGUUCCGUGCCGCAGCUAACGCAUUAAGUACCCCGCCUGGGGAGUACGGCCGCAAGGCUAAAACUCAAAGGAAUUGACGG